rnacentral:rRNA from 1 species
UACGAAGGGGGCUAGCGUUGCUCGGAAUCACUGGGCGUAAAGGGUGCGUAGGCGGGUCUUUAAGUCAGGGGUGAAAUCCUGGAGCUCAACUCCAGAACUGCCUUUGAUACUGCCGUGCUUGAGGACUGGAGAGGAGACUGGAAUUUACGGUGUAGCGGUGAAAUGCGUAGAUAUCGUAAGGAAGACCAGUGGCGAAGGCGGGUCUCUGGACAGUUCCUGACGCUGAGGCACGAAGGCCAGGGGAGCAAAUGGG